AUUGAACGCUGGCGGCAUGCCUUACACAUGCAAGUCGAACGGUAACGGGCCUUCGGGUGCCGACGAGUGGCGAACGGGUGAGUAAUGUAUCGGAACGUACCUUUCAGUGGGGGAUAACGUAGCGAAAGUUACGCUAAUACCGCAUAUUCUGUGAGCAGGCAAGCAGGGGAUCGACAGACUUUGCGCUGAUUUGGCGGCCGAUAUCAGAGUAGCUAGUUGGUGAGGUAAAGGCUCACCAAGGCGACGAUCUGUAGCGGGUCUGAGAGGAUGAUCCGCCACACUGGAACUGAGACACGGUCCAGGCUCCUACGGGAGGCAGCAGUGGGGAAUUUUGGACAAUGGGGGCAACCCUGAUCCAGCCAUGCCGCGUGAGUGAAGAAGGCCUUCGGGUUGUAAAGCUCUUUCGGCCGGGAAGAAAUCGUAUCAGCUAAUACCUGGUGCGGAUGACGGUACCGGCAUAAGAAGCACCGGCUAACUACGUGCCAGCAGCCGCCGUAAAAC
rnacentral:rRNA from 1 species